rnacentral:misc_RNA from 1 species
GAUGAAGAACGUAGCGAAAUGCGAAAAGUAGUGUGAAUUGCAGAAUUCAGUGAAUCAUCGAAUCUUUGAACGCACAUUGCGCCCCUUGGUAUUCCAUGGGACAUGCCUGUUCGAGCGUCAUUUGUACCUUCAAGCUCUGCUUGGUGUUGGGUGUUUGUCCCGCUUUUUGCGUGGACUCGCCUCAAAGCAAUUGGCAGCCGGCGUACUAGCCUGGGAGCGCAGCACAUUUUGCGCAUCUCGACUGGAACGCUUGCGUCCAUUAAGCCUACACUUUUGCUCUUGACCUCGGAUCAGGUAGGGAUACCCGCUGAACUUAAGCAUAUCAAUAAGCGGAGGA